GGAUUAGUGGCGAACGGGUGAGUAACACGUGGGCAAUCUGCCCUUCACUCUGGGACAAGCCCUGGAAACGGGGUCUAAUACCGGAUAUCACUGUCUCCCGCAUGGUGGAUGGUGUAAAGCUCCGGCGGUGCAGGAUGAGCCCGCGGCCUAUCAGCUUGUUGGUGAGGUAAUGGCUCACCAAGGCGACGACGGGUAGCCGGCCUGAGAGGGCGACCGGCCACACUGGGACUGAGACACGGCCCAGACUCCUACGGGAGGCAGCAGUGGGGAAUAUUGCACAAUGGGCGAAAGCCUGAUGCAGCGACGCCGCGUGAGGGAUGACGGCCUUCGGGUUGUAAACCUCUUUCAGCAGGGAAGAAGCGAA
rnacentral:rRNA from 1 species